rnacentral:rRNA from 1 species
AUUGAACGCUGGCGGCAUGCUUUACACAUGCAAGUCGAACGGUAACAGGCCGCAAGGUGCUGACGAGUGGCGAACGGGUGCGUAAUGCAUCGGAACGUGCCCAGUCGUGGGGGAUAACUACUCGAAAGAGUAGCUAAUACCGCAUACGAUCUGUGGAUGAAAGCGGGGGACCGUAAGGCCUCGCGCGAUUGGAGCGGCCGAUGUUAGAUUAGGUAGUUGGUGGGGUAAAGGCUCACCAAGCCAACGAUCUGUAGCUGGUCUGAGAGGACGACCAGCCACACUGGGACUGAGACACGGCCCAGACUCCUACGGGAGGCAGCAGUGGGGAAUUUUGGACAAUGGGCGCAAGCCUGAUCCAGCAAUGCCGCGUGCAGGAAGAAGGCCUUCGGGUUGUAAACUGCUUUUGUACGGAACGAAACGGCUCUGGUUAAUACCCGGGGCUAAUGACGGUACCGUAAGAAUAAGCACCGGCUAACUACGUG